rnacentral:lncRNA from 1 species
AGCUCCCUCCCGAUUGCCCGGGGCCGGUUGCGCCUCGGCUGGCGGGGCCGCGGUGAGGAAGGGGCGGCCGCUGCACCCACCUCCACCGGCCCCUGCUCCCGCAUUGGAAGUCGAAGCCAAAGUGGGGCUGUUUUGGAGAUGCCAUCCUUAAGGUGAACGUCUUUAUCGCCACACUCAGGGACCAGAUUGGGUGACAUUUUCCUUCCCCAUUGAUUUCAAGUGCAUGCCACGCUCUGAGUCUCCAACCCAAGAUAAAAUAAACCUUCCCCCUCCGACAAAA